rnacentral:rRNA from 1 species
CUACGGGUGGCACCAGUGAGGAAUAUUGCACAAUGGGGGAAACCCUGAUGCAGCAACGCCGCGUGGAGGAUGACGCAUUUCGGUGUGUAAACUCCUUUUAUCAGAGAAGAAAAUGACGGUAUCUGAUGAAUAAGCUCCGGCUAACUCCGUGCCAGCAGCCGCGGUAAUACGGAGGGAGCAAGCGUUAUUCGGAAUCACUGGGCGUAAAGGACGCGUAGGCGGGUUUUUAAGUCAGGUGUGAAAUCCUAUGGCUCAACCAUAGAACUGCACUUGAAACUGGGGACCUAGAGUAUGGAAGGGGCAGGUGGAAUUAGUGGUGUAGGGGUAAAAUCCGUGGAUAUCACUAGGAAUACCGAAAGCGAAGGCGACCUGCUGGGACAUUACUGACGCUGAGGCGUGAAAGCGUGGGGAGCAAACAGGAUUAGAUACCCCAGUAGUC